rnacentral:lncRNA from 1 species
AUGAGGGAGGGCAGUAGCACACCUCCCUCCCACUUCCUCCCACCCCAGGAGGAAAUGAUUGGGUGGGAGGUGAAUUUCCUUGAUCUCAGGAAAUUCGGUGCUUGGUUUUCUCUUCUGCAUCCAAGGGGCUCCAGGCCGGAGCCUUCGCUCUGUGGAUCAGCUCCAAUUCAUCCCGUCGAUAGCUCGCUUGUCCAUAUUUGGAUCCCAUGUCGCCUUUCCCCUCGGCCUUUAGCUUAUGAGCUCCUGGGGAGUAACGACUGCCUUCUGCUACUCUUCCUAUUCCUAGGGCUUUGCAGUUGCCAGGCCCUCAGAAGGUAUUAAUAAUUGCUUAUUGAUUAACUAACUGCUGCGCGAUUUUUCCAGCUCCCCCAGGGGAGAGGCAAGCUGUUGAGCUGGGAUUCUGGACGCCUGGGUCCUGCUUUUUUUCCUCUAGGACUGUCUGCUUCUUGGGGUGCACAUUUUGCUUUCAGAUGGAGGGAGCUACUUCUCCUUGGUGACUCCAGACGGAUAGCUCCAUCCUUCCAGAAUCUGAUGAUGAGUUAGGUAGGAACAGGCAGCAGAGACCCCCGACUCAUUCUGUGAAACUUGAGAUGUCAUCCGGUCCCCCCAAUCCCCGGUUUUAUUGAGAGAAUCAAGUCUUCUCCUGCCCCCCAAAUUUGCGCAGGGCUCCAGGGGGUGUGAAUUUGGAUUUCAGGUCUCCUAGAUCCUAGCUGGCUCUCUUUGCGACCUCCCAUGCUGUCCCCUCCUCCAGUGGUGCAAUUAAUAUUCAUGGGAUAAAAUUCCUGGGUUUUUCCCCCAGAAAAUUUUUUGGGUUUAAAUUGGGCCCUUUUUCCCCCCCCGG